AGAAACGGUAUGCUUAGGGUUCGGAUAUUGGGCGUAAGAGCUCGUAGGCGGUUUGUCGCGUCUGCUGUGAAAUCCGGAGGCUCAACCUCCGGCCUGCAGUGGGUACGGGCAGACUAGAGUGCGGUAGGGGAGAUUGGAAUUCCUGGUGUAGCGGUGGAAUGCGCAGAUAUCAGGAGGAACACCGAUGGCGAAGGCAGAUCUCUGGGCCGUAACUGACGCUGAGGAGCGAAAGGGUGGGGAGCAAACAGGCUUAGAUACCCUGGUAGUCCACCCCGUAAACGUUGGGAACUAGUUGUGGGGUCCAUUCCACGGAUUCCGUGACGCAGCUAACGCAUUAAGUUCCCCGCCUGGGGAGUACGGCCGCAAGGCUAAAACUCAAAGGAAUUGACGGGGACCCGCACAAGCGGCGGAGCAUGCGGAUUAAUUCGAUGCAACGCGAAGAACCUUACCAAGGCUUGACAUAUACGAGAACGGGCCAGAAAUGGUCAACUCUUUGGACACUCGUAAACAGGUGGUGCAUGGUUGUCGUCAGCUCGUGUCGUGAGAUGUUGGGUUAAGUCCCGCAACGAGCGCAACCCUCGUUCUAUGUUGCCAGCACGUAAUGGUGGGAACUCAUGGGAUACUGCCGGGGUCAACUCGGAGGAAGGUGGGGAUGACGUCAAAUCAUCAUGCCCCUUAUGUCUUGGGCUUCACGCAUGCUACAAUGGCCGGUACAAAGGGCUGCAAUACCGCGAGGUGGAGCGAAUCCCAAAAAGCCGGUCCCAGUUCGGAUUGAGGUCUGCAACUCGACCUCAUGAAGUCGGAGUCGCUAGUAAUCGCAGAUCAGCAACGCUGCGGUGAAUACGUUCCCGGGUCUUGUACACACCGCCCGUCAAGUCAUGAAAGUCGGUAACACCUGAAGCCGGUGGUCUAACCCUUGUGGAGGGAGCCGUCGAAGUGGGAUCGGUAAUUAGGACUAAGUCGUACCAAGGUACCCAA
rnacentral:rRNA from 1 species